CGAAAGGCAAAAGUAGAAUCUGGAAUAGAAUGCGGUGCCCCCGCUAGAACCUAGGAUAUAAGCCAAGAAAUAUUUGCUCAGAAUUCGGGCGAAUCAGUAUAUAAUCAUUUUGUCACAUUAAACAGUAUAUAUAAAGCAAUGGAGCGCAAUGCAAUUCAGCAUCAUAGCAGUAAAAGUCUCUGCGUGUUACGCAUUUCACACCGAAGUAACUUUAAUAGACUCUCAACUCUUUCUGUACAUGUGCCCAACUAAAACAAGCACUUUGUGAAUUGUGAUUUACUGCUAAUAAAAUCUAGCUAUCUAUCGACCUGAGAAGUGUUGAUAAAACCGCUCCUGAGAUUCACACGAAGCGGGGAGACGCAGCCGAGCUGCCUGUAAUCGGAGCCUAUGAACUGAAACAGAGCGACCGACAGAUUGUAACAACCAAACGAUCCCAAGAGGAAGGAAACCAGGGGGGGGAUGGAUUACCGGCUCAGCGACAGAGGCGGCGAGGUAGGCUGCGGCGGGCUCCGGUGGGAUCUCCGGCGCGCUGGGUUGGUAGAUCCCGGAUCGGACGGUGGAGUCUUAAAGCAGCGAGCAGCCGGGAGGGGGAGGAGUUUGGAUCUUGACGGAAGCCUCUGUCCU
rnacentral:lncRNA from 1 species